CGGAAUGUGCCUUAGUGAGAUACACCAAGUAUGGAACACCACAUUGCCCUUACCUAUUCGAUGCUGGGCUGAGUAUUCACUGCAACUUCAAGUCACUUGAUCACGAGCUGAACUGGCGCCACGAUGCAUGGAGGAGGUCGACGAUGACGGCGAGCUUGGGCGCGGUGUCACGACCAGGCCAGCGGCGAGACCGCGCGGAGUAUAUAGCAGGGACGAGGUCGAUCA